UUUUUUCAACUGUAUAAGGGAGAUUAAAAAUAACAUAGUCCUCUGUGAUGUGGGGGCAAAUAACAAAUGUUUGCUUUGGUAACUGCAAAUUGUGAAUAAAUGUCACUGUAUAGUUAAAAAACAACAGCAGCUCAUCUGGUCAGCACAGCACCACCAGCCUCCCUCAUGGCAGAAACCCAACAUCUGGUCAGCAUAGCACCGCUAGCCUCCUUCAUGGCAGAAACCCAACUCUGGUGUAGCGUCAGCACUGAACAACAGAUGGAACAUUAGCCCAGGACACAUAGCGGAUCCUGAAGACAGGCAUUUGCUCGUGGGUUGAAUUUGGAGAAGCACAACACAUUCAGAGGGUAACUGUUCCUGAUCUUCAAGGUCGUCCAUUAAUAAGUGUUCAAAGUUGGUUUGUUCUCCAGUUUUCGACGUAUCUGUGUGUACAGUGAAGUGUCAAGAACUCCAGCCUCCACCGAUUCGAGACCACUUGUCCUCUGUACAAAUACUUAGCCUGGCAGCAGAGCGAAGAAGAGACUGCAGGGCAUGUUUGUUCUCUGCAGAUGCUGGCACCACCCACGAAAGGCAAACAACUGUGUCUGUGGAGCUGGAUCCCCUCUGGUCACAGGGAACAGCCAGACUUCCUGGGACAGGGGUCAGAAGGCGGGAGACAGGCAGGGGCAGCCAGUGAGGAAGGAACCAGGACGAGGUCCCAGUAGACGCCCGGGAGGAGACAGCCCAAGCGGAGGAGAGGCCUGGAAGCAGGCGGGCGCCCUGAGCCUUCAUGUCCCCUUUGCUGGGGUUUGCCUCAAUCAAUACUUUUUGGACAAGACCUGGAUUGAGACAGAAAGUUGAUAUUAUACAAACUAAGGUAAGUUUGUGUUAUAUUUCCUUUUCAAUUGGGACAUUAGUUAUUGGUUGUCACAUGUACUCACACAUAAAUAAAAUGUGGACUUAUUAGGCCAGGAGGAAGGACAGAUACGGGGGAGGAGAAGCUGUAACCAGAAGGCAGUAGAAAGCCCAGACCUCCCCCAGGGCCCUUGCUGCACUCAGUCCCUGUUGAGUCAGAGACAGGGAGAAGCCAUGGACAAGUGCCCAGGGGAAGAAAGAAGAAAAGAGAUGCUGCUCCUGCUGCCUGUGCCUCCUCCUUCCAGAGUGCUCUGCAGGGCAGGCUGCAGGCAGGGCCUUGUCACCCUGGCACCCUCCAGUUCUCCAUCUCUACCACUCCAUCUGGACCCGUGCGCCAGCUGGUAUCCAGGACCCCAACCUUUCCCUCUCCGUAAACGGGUCCGUGCAAAUUCAUGGCCCCAGCCCAUAAAGAACAGGGUGUUUCCGUCUCUUAGGCCUCAAAUGUUUUAAAUGCACAGAAAGAGAUAGUGAGUGUUCAGGGUGUCUCUGCUGCAUGCAUUCAGCAGGAGCUACCAUGGCCGACCUGGGCACCACACUUCAGAUAUGUGGCUCUGCACAGUACAAGAGAUUGGGCCAGUCAUCAUGUCCUACAAACACACAGCACGGAGGCAUUACCUACACCACAAACCCACAGGUGCUCAGGGACAAAUGUUUAAGCUACUGAGGCUGCACCAAGCUCAAACACAGAUGGCAUCUUUCAGAUCACCAGAGGCAGUGUCCACCAGACAUGCAAUUCCUCUGCAGGAGUCAGACCCCAGGUCACCCAGCUUGCUGGGAGGGUUCCUCCGGGGCAGAGGGAGACAUGCCCAAGUCAGACUGGGGAACACCAGCAGUUGACUUCCGUAGCGUUUGCCACCAGUACCAUCUUCCUCUGUAACUGUAUCUUCCCAACUUCUUGUGAAUAUCUCCACCAGAUGUUCCAUCAGCACUUAAAACUCACAUUUCAACACUUGAUCUGAAUUCCUCCAAAUCCCACUUCUUCCCCUGGGCACCUUGAUUCGGUGCUGGCACCACCAUCCACCAGGCAGCCAGAACCAAACUUUGGGCUUCUUCUCACUCUCAUGCUCCCA
rnacentral:lncRNA from 10 species